rnacentral:rRNA from 1 species
GACGAACGCUGGCGGCGUGCUUAACACAUGCAAGUCGAACGGAAAGGCCCUGCUUUUGUGGGGUGCUCGAGUGGCGAACGGGUGAGUAACACGGGAGUAACCUGCCCUUGACUUUGGGAUAACUUCAGGAAACUGGGGCUAAUACCGGAUAGGAUCUCCUGCUGCAUGGUGGGGGUUGGAAAGUUUCGGCGGUUGGGGAUGGACUCGCGGCUUAUCAGCUUGUUGGUGGGGUAGUGGCUUACCAAGGCUUUGACGGGUAGCCGGCCUGAGAGGGUGACCGGCCACAUUGGGACUGAGGUACGGCCCAGACUCGUACGGGAGGCAGCAGUGGGGAAUAUUGCACAAUGGGCGGAAGCCUGAUGCAGCAACGCCGCGUGCGGGAUGACGGCCUUCGGGUUGUAAACCGCUUUCGCCUGUGACGAAGCGUGAGUGACGGUAAUGGGUAAAGAAGCACCGGCUAACUACGUG